GUGUGUUAUAAAAUGGUAAUUAUCCAUUACGGAUCAUUAUCCACUUCCUCUCUUAUCUAUUGUUUACUUAGCAUGGAAGUAGCUUGAUCACCAAGUUUUUAUUCCCCUAUAUAUAUGUUGCUUUGUACGAAGGAUUGGUAAUAAGAAUGAGAGAGAAGUUGAGUCAUUGUUCCACUUGCUCUUCCUCUCUACGUUUUCCAUCUCUUUUAAUUAUUGCUCAUACACAUAUCAUAUAAUAAUAAUAUAUAUAUUUGCGUUAUAUUUUAUAGAGAAAACUAACGUUUCUACCAUACACAGUACAUGCUCUUAGCAAAAAUACCACUUUUCUCAUUUCUCUUCUUCUAUACCACUUUCUGUAAAUGGAAAAGUCCAUUUUACCAUCCACAUAAACAAAAGUAUGAUUUUUUUUUAUUAAUUCAUUUUCUUCUUUUCUUCUUUCGUUGCUAUCUUCUUCCUCCAUCUUCUCUCUCACACUCUUCAAUAUAUGUCCAACUCAAAUCUAGAAGAACGGAAAAGAAGAUAAGAGAUGUGGUUCCGUUGACUACGAUGUCACCGGCGGAGCUCCUUAACGUCGCCGCCGUGAUAUGGUUUAAUUGACUAAGAUAUCACCAUCAAAUUUCGUCAACGCCGUUGUCGCUAUUAGUGGAAAAGAUGAAUUCUAGGAAUAGGAUCGUCGACAGAAGGGCUGAAAUUUUUAGUUUCAAUGGACAAAAUUAAGAUAAGAUGACUUAGGUCGUAUGUGACUAGUCAAAAUUGUAUGUUUUUUUGUCCAUUAUAUUUUUUGGUCCACGCAUCAUAUAUGUUAUGGUCCUUGUUGAUUAUAUUUCUGUUUUGUUACAUAAUCUUGUCCAUUUUCUUAAUUUGUAAUGAUGACAUAGUUUUGUUAAUAAAUGUUGUCCACAACU